AUUGAACGCUGGCGGCAGGCCUAACACAUGCAAGUCGAGCGGAUGAAGGGAGCUUGCUCCUGGAUUCAGCGGCGGACGGGUGAGUAAUGCCUAGGAAUCUGCCUGGUAGUGGGGGAUAACGUCCGGAAACGGGCGCUAAUACCGCAUACGUCCUGAGGGAGAAAGUGGGGGAUCUUCGGACCUCACGCUAUCAGAUGAGCCUAGGUCGGAUUAGCUAGUUGGUGGGGUAAAGGCCUACCAAGGCGACGAUCCGUAACUGGUCUGAGUGGGUGAUCAGUCAACACGGAAAUUGAAACCGGGUCCAACCCCCAACGGGGGGCAGCGGUGGGGAAUUUUGGAAAAGGGGGAAAACCCGAAGCAGCCCAGGCGCGUGAGGGAAAAAAGGUUUUCGAUUGUAAAAGCCUUUUAAUUGGGAAGAAAGGGCGGGAAGUUAAAACCUUGCUUUUUUACCGUUCCCAACAAAAAAAGCACCGGCAAAUUUCUG
rnacentral:rRNA from 1 species